UCUUCCCUCUGUCGGCGUGCCUAAUACAUGCAAGUCGAGCGAACGGACGAGAAGCUUGCUUCUCUGAUGUUAGCGGCGGACGGGUGAGUAACACGUGGAUAACCUACCUAUAAGACUGGGAUAACUUCGGGAAACCGGAGCUAAUACCGGAUAAUAUUUUGAACCGCAUGGUUCAAAAGUGAAAGACGGUCUUGCUGUCACUUAUAGAUGGAUCCGCGCUGCAUUAGCUAGUUGGUAAGGUAACGGCUUACCAAGGCAACGAUGCAUAGCCGACCUGAGAGAGUGAUCGGCCACACUGGAACUGAGACACGGUCCAGACUCCUACGGGAGGCAGCAGUAGGGAAUCUUCCGCAAUGGGCGAAAGCCUAACGGAGCAACGCCGCGUGAGUGAUGAAGGUCUUCGGUUCGUAAAACUCUGUUAUUAGGGAAGAACAUAUGUGUAAGUAACUGUACACAUCUUGACGGUACCUAAUCAGAAAGCCACGGCUAACUACGUG
rnacentral:rRNA from 1 species